AUCUAGUGAGAUUAGGAAGAUCAAGAGAAGUGAUCUCACUAAUCUAGUGAGAUUAGGAAGAUCACACUCGGAACAUAGUCUACAUAAGGCACGCUCAUUACCAUGUAAAUAAAUUCGAUUCUAGGAUUGUUUAGCAGCAAUCAAACUCUAAUUAACCUCAAUACUUACUUGAGAACGAUCAUAACUUUAUCCCCAGUUAUUAAGAACCCAGUUACCCAGUCAGACGCUCAAUUGCUUUAACCCACUGUAUUUUACCAUAAGAACAGGUUACCCCGAUACCUUGAUCGUAACACUCCACUUGUUAUUUUCAAAGGAAAAUCGGUGCAACAAUAAUGGUUUCCAACAAAUAUAACUUGUUAUCGUGGGUGGAAGUUUACCGCUGCGGAAAAUGGCUGGACUGAUAAUCUUACUGCCUUGGAAUGGUUGCAAACCGUCUUUUUACCUGGUACUAUUCCGGAGGACCCCGAGGCGGCUAGAUUAUUAAUUCUCGACGGCCAUAAAUCACAUACAAUACCAGAAUUUAUGGCUCAAUGCUUCCUUAAUAACGUAUAUGUGGUUUACCUCCCGCCUCACGCAUUUCACAUUUUACAACCACUCGAUUUGUCGGUUUUUUCGGUAUUUAAGGAAGCGUAUCGACGUUGGAUCUCUCUCGUUCAGCCGAAUUUAACAAUUUAACGGUUAUUAAAAACCGACUUUUUCUUAAAAGCUAUUAUCAAACACAUUUUAAAACAUUAACCGAGCGGAUUAUUAAGAGCGGUUGGCGGGCAGCGGGUUUAUAACCGGUUAAUAUAAACAAACCAUUAUUAAACCCCCUAUUUUUGGAAAAUCGAAAUUUUUAACAACAAAUUCCAACAAAGCCUCGCCUAAUACGCGUCCAAAUCGCCUUUUCACCUAAAAACCCUGGGGAUAUAUCGCGUUCCAUUCAAAACAGCUUUUUAGUGGGUUGGAAACCCCGGAAAGUGCGAAAAAUAUCAAAUCGCAAUUAGGCUUUUAUUUUCGGUUAACCGGAAGCGAUUCCACGCAGCGAUUAUUAUUUUCGAAAAUCCAAAAAGGUUGGGAUUCCAAAAACCUAAAACUGGCAAUAGCUUAUCGACGAAUUAACCAAUUGGAAUCGCAAUUUGCGGCCGUGGUACCACGGGAAAGAUAGAGGGUUAAUCCGGAUCCAAAUAUUAUGUUCGUUGGGCUAAAGGAGAUAUAACGGGUUCAAACCCGGGCGGAAACAGUUUAAACAAACGUGGAGGAAUCUCCUAAAGUUCCUAAUUCCUCAGAUAUAGGUGAUUAUAUUGUUGCAACUGUUAAAAUUGUCAAUAUAACGAGAUGUUUUGUGGUUUUAUAAUUUGUAUUUCUAUUUUUAAGGGUGACGGUUGAGGGGCGCUCUGAUUUGAGUUUGCUAAAUUUUAAUUAGGGUGUUUUUUAAUAUAUUUUAACGAAAGGCCCGCCAUUUCGCUCCCCCACAUUAAUUUUGUUCAAAUCUGACAGGCCGAAACUUUUUACUGCGGGCUGUAUAAGUAAUAUCCCUGGUGCCCGUUUCGCCCGUGCGAAAGCGUCAAAUUAAUAUUAGGCAUUAUAUAGGAAACGCUUCCUAUUAAUUCGAAAACGGACGCACCGCUGAAAUUUUCCCCCGACGGAAUUUGACACCACGAACAUGUAAAGCCGGGAAAUGCGACUAUUUCGAAAUACCACGUUAUUAAUAAUAGUUAUUAAUCUCAAAGCAGAAGCCUGUUACGACCAGGGGGAAUUAACACGAUUGGGUAAGAUCGGAAGAGGUGUCGGGAACCCAAAUUGGAACCACCAAAAAUUACGAACUAGGAAUAAGACCAGAGGAGCAGGAAGUUACGUGGUAAUACGAUAAGGAACCCUAACCCGAUUACCGAACGGACGUAAUCGCAGUUACCGCCAAGGAGGUAAUUAACCCCAGUCGUAAUUAUUUUGGAGUGAUUAUAAUUACUUAUAUAAAAUGAUUAUUUGUUUAUAUAAAACACGCUCGUUACCAUGUAAAUAGAACUUAGUUUAGGAUUAUUUAUUAGCAAUUAAUUUAUUAUUUACCCAGGAAUCGAUUAUAAUUUCACCCCAGUUAUUAAGAAUUUUUAAAUACCCAGUCAAAUGUUUAAUUGUUUCAACCCACUGUAUUUUACUAUAAGAAUAUAUUACCCGAUAUUUUAAUCGUAACAAAGCCCUCAAUUUCCUAUCCUGGUCGUGCAUGGAAGAUUCUCGUACCACGGGAAUUUUUAUUUAUAAGGAUAGAAAUAUGCUCCAAAAUUAUUAUUAAUUUCGCGCACUAUUAAUUAAAACCCGUGUUUAGUGGCAUAUUAAUUUGGCAGGUUCAAAUAUAAUUUAAUGUUUUAAAAGGUUGCUACGGGAGGAAAAUUGGCGACCGUUGCAUCCAUAAUUCCAAUAUCGCGGUUUUGGGCGGCUUCCCACUAUUCGAACGUUAUAUAAUAUGUUUUUCUGUUUUACAUUUCGAAUUACUAAUAUUCCGGAACCUGUAUUUAUAAAAUCAGGUACCUGUUGCUAAUAUAUUUGGUUUUGUGGCCGGAGGUUGAAAUAAUUACGCGAAUAUAAGCCUGAUAUUUUGCAAAAAAUUAUAAAAUAAUAUGGAAUUAGCUCAUUUAUAAUUUAAAUAUA
rnacentral:sRNA from 1 species